UGGGGAAUAUUGGACAAUGGGCGAAAGCCUGAUCCAGCCAUGCCGCGUGUGUGAAGAAGGUCUUCGGAUUGUAAAGCACUUUAAGUUGUGAGGAAGGGCAGUAAGCGAAUACCUUGCUGUUUUGACGUUACCGACAGAAUAAGCACCGGCUAACUCUGUGCCAGCAGCCGCGGUAAUACAGAGGGUGCAAGCGUUAAUCGGAAUUACUGGGCGUAAAGCGCGCGUAGGUGGUUCGUUAAGUUGAAUGUGAAAGCCCCGGGCUCAACCUGGGAACUGCAUCCCAAACUGGCGAGCUAGAGUAGGGCAGAGGGUGGUGGAAGUUCCUGUGUAGCGGUGAAGUGCGUAGAUAUAGGAAGGAACACCAGUGGCGAAGGCGACCACCUGGGCUCAUACUGACACUGAGGUGCGAAAGCGUGGGGAGCAAACAGG
rnacentral:rRNA from 1 species